rnacentral:rRNA from 1 species
UACGUAGGGUGCAAGCGUUGUCCGGAAUUUAUUGGGCGGUAAAGAGCUCGGUAGGCGGGUUUGUCGCGUCUGCUGUGAAAAACUCGGGGCUUAACUCCGGGCCUGCAGUGGGUACGGGCAGACUAGAGUGCGGUAGGGGAGACUGGAAUUCCUGGUGUAGCGGUGAAAUGCGCAGAUAAUCAGGAGGAACACCGGUGGCGAAGGCGGGUCUCUGGGCCGAUACUGACGCUGAGGAGCGAAAGCGUGGGGAGCGAACAGG